rnacentral:rRNA from 1 species
AGAACUGUAUGCGGUGGAUCACUCGGCUCGUGUGUCGAUGAAGAGUGCAGCAAACUGUG